AAAUACAAAAACUGAAAAAAAUCUCAUAACCUCAUUGGAUGAAUCGAGCCAAUCAGAGCUGGAGUUUUCUUCUUCGCAACUUUUUUUUCCUCUGUGAAAUGCCGCCACCUACUGUUUUGACGGGAAAACAACAACAAAAGCUGUUUGUUUUCUGGAUUCGUUAAAGCGUUGGACCUCUCCAGGGCGCACACACUCUUCAGCUCCCUCAUCCCGUCAUCUCCUAUCUCCUCCGUCUCACUGGACACUAACGGUGAGAAGGUCGGCCCACCCGCGGUCCAGAGCAACUUUGGCUUCGGGUGACCUCCUUUCAACAAAAUGGAGAAGACGCCGACACCCUCGCCGCUCCAACAGACUGAGAUAGAUGAAGGGAUGUGGGGAGGGACUGAGAAAAGAAUGGAAGUUGAUAAAACACUAAAAUGUGGCUGUUUAAAGAUUUUAUUGUUUUGUACCAUUGCCGCCAUAUUUCCAGUGCUUCUCCAUCGGCUCAGGUAAAGAGCAGUGGUCCACCCUGCAGAUAAUCCCUCCUCUUCUCUCCUUUGCCUCCUGAUGGAUUAGUCUCCUCUCCAAAGAGGCGGUUGCCCUAAAACGUCUGGAUUGAGUUUGUAUUGGGCCCCAAAGCUCCCCUCCUUCUAUCACCUCCUCUUCCCGGUCAUCCUCCUCUCCCCCUCUAAACCUUAACCAAGUGACUGAGAUGUUCGGAGGGUAAAAAUCUGUGAUUUCACAUCCCAGAGUUUGACUCGAGGAGAGGUCAGAGCUGACGAUUUCAGAAAUGCACGGCCUUUUGAUGAAGCCUGAAUGGAAAAAAAUAUGAAAUAUUUACUUUGCAACACAUGAUGUCAAACGUUUUUUUUUUGUUUUUAUUUUACCUCUCGAUUCACGAGUGAUUGGAUGCUUCAGAGCGAUGUGGUGGACUUUAACCCACACCUUGGUGGCUCCCUUUUCCAGCUCCCCCCGGGGAAGCUUGCAUUGGCUGUAGGCCGAGAAGAGCCCCUCAGAAUUUGGGCGAGGGGACGAGGAGGCCUCCGAGGCCACGGGGGUCAGCUCGCCCCCCUGGCAGAACCAGCGGAAGGUGAUGACAUCCGGGUGGAAAUGUGAGGCGGAAACCGUCAUGUUGAUGACAUCUGGGAGGGGCAAAGAUGGCGAGAUGUCAUUUCUACCAAGAAAACCAAAAAAUAAUCAUUUUUUGACAUACCUGAGUCAUUCUGUGUCUCUGUCAGCUGAAUUUCUGACACUUCCGGUGGAGCUGAAUCAAAAACAACAUUUUUCAAAACAGAAAAAAACAAACUUAAAUGGAAAAAAAUCUGUGUAUUAUUUGUUUUUCAACUUAAAAUCAGAAAUGAAAAAGCAAUAAAUGAACUGUUUUUUUGUUUUCCAAUUUAAAAUCCAAAACAAAAACUGUUUAUUCAUUAUUUUUACGAUUUGCGCUUCAAAUCGAAAGUAAAAAAACGGUUAGUUUCUCGUUUUUUCAUUUCCGAUUUUAAGUAUAAAAACGAAUGACUAAAGGAUACACGGAUUGAAAAAGCCAAACCGUUCUUACACAAAAUCGUGAACUUCUCCGACACUCUUUCCUGCACAAUCUUGUCCUUGCCUAUGUAGGACACUUGACAUUUAAACACUGCCCCCUUGUGGAGGGCAAUCUGAGGGAUGAAGGUGAGCGCCGAGAUCAGCUGUUGGGUGCCACUUUUGGAAGAAUGCAACGGUCCCUGAGUGUGCAGCUUGUAGUAACCCAUUUUGCCUCUGGAGGUCAGGAGAGGGCCUUUCUCCGAAGCUGUGGAGGUGAGAGUUAGACCAUAGGGCAGAUGGACGGUAGUUAGGGGGCUGUAGAGGCAGUUAAAGUUAGAUCUGGACGUUCCUGUGUGUGUAAUGUUGUUAGCAGGGUUAACAUAUGGAGGUGAAAAA